CCUCUUUCCCUCAAAAUCCUCACUAUCUUUCUACCAAGUUGUUCUAUCUGAGAAGUAAACCUCAACGCAUUAAAAUUUACACGGCAUCUCAACUUUUGAAUCUCAAUAGGUAAUCCAUUGUUAGCAAGUCGAGCAUCGGUCUUAUUUAGGUGCACAACCUUGUGUUUCUGUAUGAGAGGAAGAAUCUACCUGUUUUUCGUAGUACGAAAUAUCCGACCAACUAAUCGGGGGCAAUGAGUAAGACAUUCCUAAUUCAACUCUUCUCUU
rnacentral:lncRNA from 1 species